CUUCUAGAAGAUUGCACUGAAUGGCGCAUUCGUUUCCUGGGGCUGCCGUAACAAAGCACUGCAGACAGGGUGGCUUAGACCCAGAAACAUAUUCUCUCCCAGUCCUGGAGGCCAGAAGUUCAAGAUCAAGGCACUGGUGGGGCCACGCUUGCUCUGAAGACCCCAGGGACUGACGCGUCCCACGGUCCUUUGCUUGUAGCAGCCAGAACUCCAGGCUUCACGGGUCGUUCUUCCCGUAUGCAUGCCUUGGGGUCCAAAUGUCCCCUUUUUAUAAGGACACCCAUCAUCUUGGGAGUAGGGCCGCCCUGACGACUUCCAUCAAGGCCAUAUCUCUUGGAAAAGGUCACGUUCUGCAGUAUUGGGGAUAGGACUCACCACGGUCUUUUGCGGGGGGACAGGGGGCACAAUUCAAUCCAUGCAAAAUAAAAAAGCAGCAGAAUACAUAUAACAAGAGACCAUUUAUGAAAAGUUGAGGGAUACAUAAAUACUUAAAAGUUUAAUGGAGAGAAGAGAAUGACUUCUGCUACAUCUGGAGCAGUGGGCAUCCUGGGGCGCCUUGGGACCUCAGAUACCUUGGGAUGCUCCACGUCUUAAGUUGACUGGCAGGUGCAUAGGUUUGUUUGAAUACUCUUUAUAACAGGAUAUAUAUGUGGUUUUUAUUUGGGAAGUAAUUCAUAAUAAGUGCACAGUUUUAAAUAGAAUCAGAAAGAAAGGACUUGGAGGACAGUGUCGACUACACUUUGGAGGACUUUCGCUAUAGGGGAAUGGGGUGGUGUCUGGGGGACAAUGAGGGUGGUUUCCCCAGCUCACCUGGGAAGAGCUGGGUUCAGAGAGGUGAAGUGGUUCAGCCAGGCUGAUGCAGCUGGCCGGGCUCAGCUGGCAGUGGCACCAAGGUCCCCGAACGCCAGCACCAGGCUUUGUCCUUCCCCCCCUGGUGGCCUGUUUCUUGUGGUCAUCUUUGGGAGCCUUGGGUGCUAGAGGCUGGUCCCUCUACUACCAGAAUUCUGUGAUUCCUGGAGCUUGGAGCUAGAAGAGACCUCACUGCUACCUCUUGAUGUACUCGACCGUCCUCCCCUCUCACUUGCCCUCUUGCUGCGAUAUGAAACCAGUUUCCAGACAUGUGCAUGGUCACGUGUCUAUUAUAUGCCAAAGUGCAUUCAAGGUCCUCACAAGUAAUGAGUUGUGUGAUCCGAACACUGCAGCUGUUACAGAAUGAAUGUCUCACAAGGAGGAAAGGUCCAGCAUAUGGAAUAUACUCAGGGUUUUGUGACAGCGACGUACGGUGACAGGCGGUGGCUACACUCGUGGUGAAUAGAGCAUAACAUAUGGAGUUGUCAGAGGACUAUGCUGUACACCUGAAACAAAUGUACUAUGGUGUGUCGGCUAUAGUUCAAUU